rnacentral:lncRNA from 1 species
AGAGCUAUAUGCUGACAAUGAGUGGAAUGAUGAUUAUGAUUAUUAAAAUGCUGGAGCGUAGAUUACUGCCUGCGUUAUUUUCAAUAACAAAACGAGUUUGCGUGAAAGUCGAAACAAAGCAGAUUACUUAUCGACAGAAUUUCGCGCGUUCCUGCAUGCGAACCGUUUAUAGUAUGAUAAAGUCUAACAAUAAGAUAAAUAAUAACACAUGUAUCUAAAUCAGAAAACUCGGUUAGAAUGAACUGUGGAUUUGUUAUUUCAGCGUGCCAAUUUAAUAUAUCUAUGACGAAGCAUCUUAUAAUAAAGAAUUGUAAGUUUAUAAUAAAGCAGACUGCCCUUAUACAUGUCGGAGUAAAAGCUGUGACUGCUUCUUUGACGUUACGCUGUAUCAUUUGUGAUCGAUAAUAAACGCGUUUGAGAGAAACGGCAGUCGAAGCCGAGCCUCCAGACAGAUCGGUCUUGAUCCCGGAAACUGUGGAUUCGUUGAUUCCGCAAAUAAGAUGGACGGUGUCACGAACGAUGGGACGAACGAAUCUCCAUUGGCUUCGACGUAUACAUAUUUAUAAUUACGUUUCAAAGAAUUAUGGGAAAAGGUUUCAAUGUUUAAUGAAAAAAGCACCCGAAGACCGCCUUCCGGGAUGAUGUUAACGAAUGUCUACAUCAUGCGAGUGCACAGUUUCGGAUCUACUUCCGAUAUUUCGAUUAUUCCAUUUCCGAAACGGUAAACUGACCAGCUUUCAAAGCGGCAACUACUACAGCUGUGCAGGUUAUCGAAUAUUGUUUGUUAACGCAUAUUUUUACAACUACAGAGUUUCCGAUCAUUUAUUUUUUCCCCCAAUUUUAGAGCUUCUAAAGUGAGUGAAAAGGUUUACAUUAUAUUCAGUGGUUGAUUUUAGGUGUGAAUCUGAUUACGACUAAUUAUUCUUAAAAAUAACAAUUGUAUUUA